ensembl:lncRNA
CCCAAGAGCUGUCUAACUGGCUCCAGAAUAACAGAUCUUAGUUAACCACCACUUGUUCUGAAAUGUCAGCGGACACUGCCACGGAAAUGGAGAGACAUAUUUGUAACAAGAGUGAAAUCUGCUGUUACUUACAAGGCUAAUACUUUAAAUUCUCAUUCUGGUUUUCACUGGGGAAUCUUGAAGCUUUUUACAAGCAUUAGUGGAUUAAUUUUCACUCCACCCAAAGCAUGGAUACAUUUACGAAGCUGUGAUUCUACAAAUGGGAGAAACAGAAAUCUAUCCUCGCUCUGAAUUAUUCCUCAAAUGUCUGGCAAACAGGGAACAGGAUGCAACCUGACACUGCCAAGCUCUGAGCUCCAGCCCAGGCCCUUCCUCUUCCUACUCAGCUGUUGAAGUGUGGAUGGCAACUGCAACUUUACAAAGCAACUCGUAAGCAUGCAUUAAAAAAUAAAUACAGAAC